UGAUUUAGGUCUGAUCACGUUCUUCAUCUCCGCCGUACGAGAGAGCGUUGUUUCAUCUUCUUCCUAAAAAUCUGCAUUCAAUGUGUUUUCCCUUUUCACAAAGCGUUCGAUCUCAAGCUAUAAAAAGGUGAGGCGUCAUCCUUGACCAUCAUUCCUCACAAUUCUAAAUAGCCUCUGAAAAUUCUUCAUUAAAAUCUUUAUUUUACAAGACAAUUCAUGUCCGUUCGAUUUCUACUUCGGCCACCUUCUCUGAGAAACCAUACAAGUUUGAUGAGGAAUAGGAAAGGCAGAGGAAAUUGCAAGAACAAUUUAGCGUGAUGAAGCUUUGCGCAUCUACAGAUUUGCAGAAACAACAACGAGAAAAGAUAGUCAAGAUCGUAACUUUUGAGCUCACCUUACUUCGACUCUGCAAUUUCAUUGAUGUGGCUGGAGUGAACCUAGCUCGCUGUUCUGGGUUGUUACGUUGUUACAUAUAUAAAGAUGAUCUUUAAUCUAUUUCACUAAAAUCAAUGUGGGUUUGAGAGCUACAAGAUUCUUAGUGUUCUGCCAUGAUCAACUCUUCUAUCUAGCUUUUUCUGAUUCUAAUUGAAGUUUGACACUCUUUUGGCUUUAAAAUUUUGAUUUCUGUGUCAAAAAGUUUCUUAGUAAUAGAAAACGUCAACACUUUUCUUAUCAUGAAAAAACAGAAACUGUAUUAAUUAGAUUGUUAUUUCUUGCUUUUAUGAUAAUCUUAGUUGCUUUUGAGCUCAUGGUGGUUAUACAAUUACAGGUAUUUAAUCCUACAUAAAUGAAAUCUCAUGAAUUUGUAAGGCGUGUUUGAAGACCUUUGCAGGGAAAGGAGAUGAAUGGGCAGGAUAAUGCAGAUAAAGGAUGUUGAUCAUGUUGGCAGGUGGUGAUUGUACUCAAAGAAUGGCAUGAUGCGUUUGAUAUACCCAACUUGGCCCUGUAAUCUCUAAAAAUCCUUCUAUCCCGAUUCUAACAAGAAAACAUUAGGAUUUUCCCAGAGUCAAGCCAAGUUUUGAUGUGUCUACACUUGAUCGAUAUGUAGAAACUUCCAUUUCUCUGAUUAAAAUAGUUAUUAAUAUCUUCAUUUGUUGAAAAUACAGUAAGAUUAUGUCCUUUGUAGCUUCGUUCUUUUCUGCAAUAUAUGUAACACAGUGGAAAGAAUUAAAAGAUGCUCCUUUCAGCUCAAAA